UACGAAGGGGGCUAGCGUUGCUCGGAAUCACUGGGCGUAAAGGGUGCGUAGGCGGGUCUUUAAGUCAGGGGUGAAAUCCUGGAGCUCAACUCCAGAACUGCCUUUGAUACUGAAGAUCUUGAGUUCGGGAGAGGUGAGUGGAACUGCGAGUGUAGAGGUGAAAUUCGUAGAUAUUCGCAAGAACACCAGUGGCGAAGGCGGCUCACUGGCCCGAUACUGACGCUGAGGCACGAAAGCGUGGGGGAGUAAACAGG
rnacentral:rRNA from 1 species